AUACGUAGGUGGCAAGCGUUGUCCGGAAUUAUUGGGCGUAAAGCGCAUGUAGGCGGUUUGGUAAGUCGGUCGUGAAAAUGCGGUGCUUAACGCCGUAUGGCGAUUGAAACUGCUGAACUUGAGUGCAGGAGAGGAAAGGGGAACUCCCAGUGUAGCGGUGAAAUGCGUAGAUAUUGGGAAGAACACCGGUGGCGAAGGCGCCUUUCUGGACUGUGUCUGACGCUCAGAUGCGAAAGCCAGGGUAGCGAACGGGAUUAGAUACCCCGGUAAUCCUGGCCGUAAACGAUGGGUACUAGGUGUGGGAGGUAUCGACUCCUUCCGUGCCGGAGUUAACGCAAUAAGUACCCCGCCUGGGGAGUACGGCCGCAAGGCUUAAACUCAAAUGAAUUGACGGGG
rnacentral:rRNA from 1 species